GUGACUGAGUAAUACCACUUUGGUGUAUUUUCAUAGGCUCUCGAGGCUAACUAGCAGCUUCUGAUUUAUUGAGGAAGCAUGGUUUUCAUGUUAAUUCCUCAAUUGUUUCUCUGAACUUGGAUAAUAUACUUGCUAUCUGAAGAACAGAGCUAUAUACAAAGGUGCAUUAGAGGGUAAAAAAAACUAUUGGUCAUAGACAAGGUCAAAAAUCUAAAAAUUCAGGGAGGCACAGGGUAAGAGGUGAGGUUAUGCUCAGCUUUGGUGCUGUGAUGGCACCUAUCUCCACUCUCAGCAGAGUCACAGCUAAAGUCCAAAUCUGUUAAAAAUAUGAAGUCAAGAAUUUUCCCCAUAGGAUUCUGUUUCAUUCUUUUACCUACUAGUUUCUCUUUGUAAAACAUAUCUAGAAAACUUAAAAGACAACAUGUUCAUUAAUGAUAAGAUGUAGUUCUUUCUGAUAAGCUCAGCUCUGGCAUAUCCAUGUAUAAGAAACCAAAGUAACUUUCUCAACUUUGAUUACUAUGAGAUGACCACAUCAAGUGAUAUAAGUAAGCAUAUCAAAGAGAUGGAGCAUGAGAUAUUGAUCCAACUUAAAUAAAACAGGGGUUUUUAGAGUACAAGAUGUAGAGGAUUUUAUUUUGAGGCAGGAGUGUAAUUAUCCUGGGUUUGGUAUAUAGGCCCACAAGGAAAGCAUUAUGAAUUGUACACAGGAAGAGUACGGAUUGUGCUUUGUUCAAGAACUUAAUACACUUUAUUAGUAAGUCUUAUUUCCUCUGCAAAUUCCUUACCUCUUUGGAGGAGAGGUUUUAUUGAAUAGAUAAAAUGAAGUUAGUGAGAUUAGAUAAAAAUAGUCACUCCUCAUAGGUAUUGGAAACAGCUUGAAAGAGACCUUAAAAGGUAGGAAGGAAAAGAACAGGAUAGACUUUGAUGAGAAUAAAUGACAGAAGACAAAUACAGGGAGAUGAAAUGAAAAUUAGUAGGGAGGAAAGUAACAGGAAAUCAUUUGAAUUUGAUUUAUGAAGGGACCAGAGAAGAGAAUAGCCAAAUGGGGGAAGAACAGGAAAGUAAUUUUGAGUAACUAACAA
rnacentral:lncRNA from 1 species